UCCCUCCUCCUCCCCUCCCCCCUUUCUUCUAUUUUGAGACAGGAGCUCUCUACAUAGUGAUAGAGCUCCUGGAACUCACUCUGUAGAGCAGGCUGGCCUGGAACUCGAAAGAUCUGCUUGCCAUUGCCUCCAAGUGCUCGGAUUGUAGUAUCUUGUGUCCGGAGACAACAACAGCCAGGUCCUGUCCAGCUUAUUCAUCCAGUCUGUGCUUGGAGGGAGGUGUUCGAAGCAAGAAAUGGCAGGUAGAAAAAUUUUUGAUACAAAAGAGAAGACAGAGACACAGGAUAGAGUGGGAGGGCACCCCAGUGAAUACUGAACCUCCAUGUUUAUUCUGCACUGUCUUUUUAUACCCUCACCAAAAGAGGGGGAGAAGAUAAAAUACUUCCUUACCAAGACAAAGAACAAGCAAACAUACUUACCUUCUCAAUACACAAACAUCAAGUAAGUAUACUCUACAGCAAAUAUUCCGUUGUCAAGGCAAGAUAUACAAUAGGUAGAUUUAUCUUUUAGAAAACAUAACAACAUAUUGUUAGAGUGAAAAAAUUAAGGAAACAUUUUCUAGUUAAGGUCCAACCAGGACAUAGAGAAAAGAAAAAUUUGAGCCAUGAAGGUUUAAUAUAAGGAAGUACUGACCAAGAACAGAGUGGUGGCCGCUAAAAGGAAAAGGAUUUUGAAGAGUUAGUAAAGCAGGGGACAGGCCUCAUGAUGUGAUCCUAUAAUACCAGCUAGUCAGGAAGUGAGGGUAGGGAGCUGAAGCUGAAGGCCUGCCUGGGCUGUAGAGGGAGUUGAAGAGCAGCUUGGACACGUGUGUGAGACCCUGCCUCAAACACUGAAAAAGAGGUGCUACAACGAUGACUCACUGGUUCAGAGUACUGGCUGCUCUUCCAGAGAACCUGGCUGGCUUCAAUUCAUAGCAUCCCCAUGGCAUCUCCUACCGUCAGUCCCAGAGGAUCCAGCUCCAUUUUCUAGCCUCUGAAGGUACCAAGUACACAUGUGCCACACACAGACAUACAUGCAGGCAAAACGAGCAUGCACAUAAAAUAAGUAAAAAAUUUAAAAUAUUAAAAAAGAAACGAAGAUGUAAUUUAGUGCUAGAAAACUUGACUGUCAUGUGUAAGGCCCUGGGUUCAAUUCCCAGUAUGACCCCCCCCCCCCCAAAAAAAAAAAA